UGGGGAAUAUUGCACAAUGGGGGAAACCCUGAUGCAGCGACGCCGCGUGAACGAAGAAGUAUUUCGGUAUGUAAAGUUCUAUCAGCAGGGAAGAUAAUGACGGUACCUGACUAAGAAGCACCGGCUAAAUACGUGCCAGCAGCCGCGGUAAUACGUAUGGUGCAAGCGUUAUCCGGAUUUACUGGGUGUAAAGGGUGCGUAGGCGGCAUGGCAAGUCAGAAGUGAAAUGUAGGGGCUCAACCCCUAAACUGCUUUUGAAACUGUCAGGCUUGAGUGCAGGAGAGGAAAGCGGAAUUCCUAGUGUAGCGGUGAAAUGCGUAGAUAUUAGGAGGAACACCAGUGGCGAAGGCGGCUUUCUGGACUGUAACUGACGCUGAGGCACGAAAGCGUGGGGAGCAAACAGG
rnacentral:rRNA from 1 species